AUGGUUCUGGAGGUGAGUGCAGGUGGAGGAGGAGUGGUCGGAGGAGCAGGUGAGGAGGGAGGGGUCUGUGGAGGCUGCUCUCCCGGAGCUUUUAUUUCCCAGCCGGCACCUGGCCCUGGCACCUGCCACUUCCUCGUGUGUGUUUACGUCACGUUCUUGGCACGUUCUGUGUGUCCUCUACUUAAAAAUAGAGGCUAUGCCUGUAGCAUGAUUGCCCCUCUGCUGUGGUCUCUGCUCCCUGGACAGGUGCAGCGUCGGCUGCUGUUCAGCCAGGGCCGGCUCGGUGCUAACUCCCGAGUGCUCUCUCCGUCUGCCUGCCUGUCUGUCUGCUCUGUGCUCGGCUGCUAUGGGGACAUUCUUGUGAGUCUGGGAGGUGUUGGGGUGUCUCGUGGACCCAGCUCCCCAAUCCUAGCCCCCUGCAGGCCCUCUGCCAUGUUCCCUGGCUCCCUGCUCCCCCUCCCCUGCACCUGCGUCCUGCCAGGAACAGUCAGUGAGCACAGCCGCAGAACGCGCUGGCCCAAGCCGCCACCGCUGCCGCCCCCACCCCAGCCCUGCCCUGCCCUGCCCUGCCCUGCCCUGCCUGUACUUCAGCGGCACAGCCGCGAGUCCCUCUCAGCUCUCCGCUUCUAUCAGCCAUCGUGUGGAGAGCGAUGGCUCUCUGCCCUCGCCCCAUCUGGGAUCCGGGCAUCACCAGGGGAGGCCCUGGGUUUGCUUAUCCCGCCUGCCGACCCCCACGCCGCCCACCCCCCGACACAGACCCUGGAGCUCCUCCUGACCCACCUCGUAGCCAGCCCCAGUGUCAGUCCCCGCUCGGGCAGGUGCCCCUCACCCGCUUCUCCCUUGGAGAGCUCCCUGUGUGUCCUCGGCCCACUCCUCCAGUCUGCCCCCCCCAGAUCCACGGAGCCCUGUCCACGUCCACAGCGGUCAGCGGGUCGCCCUGCUGUGUUUUGCGGAUCCCUUGUCUGUGGGGAACGCAUCCUUAGUGACUUCCUGAGGGAGGGGCCGGCGGGUGCCCCCUUUAGACAUCAGGUAGAGUAG
rnacentral:lncRNA from 1 species